UCAGUGGUACAUGAUGACUAUUCCUUUUUUCCCCAUCAUAUCGACUCUGCUGAUCAAGCAUAUAUUCUAGCCAAAUAGCCUGAUUCCACUGA
ensembl:snoRNA